UACAGAGGUCUCAAGCGUUGUUCGGAUUCAUUGGGCGUAAAGGGUGCGUAGGCGGCGAGGUAAGUCAGAUGUGAAAUCCCGGGGCUUAACCCCGGAACUGCAUUUGAUACUGCUUUGCUUGAGGACUGGAGAGGAGAUCGGAAUUCACGGUGUAGCAGUGAAAUGCGUAGAUAUCCGGAGGAACACCAAAGGCGAAGGCAGUGUCCUGGGGAGUACCUGACGCUCAGGUGCGAAAGCCAGGGGAGCGAACGGG
rnacentral:rRNA from 1 species